UAAAAGAUUAAAUAAUUUUACUUUGGAUUUAGCUGUCUUUUCUUCAGGCCCAAAGCCUCAUAAACCCAAGCAGAAGUACAAAGAACAAGCUACAUUCUCUUUCACAGUGCCUCCUUAUCAUGGCUCAGGAGGACUCUGAAUAUCUCAGGGUAUAAUUAGUUACAUGGCUGGAUAGAAAUCCUAAAGUAUAAAUAGAUGUUUUCCAUUUAUAAAGUUGAUGUUUAAAGUU
ensembl:processed_transcript Gm20405 predicted gene 20405